GGUGACUCAGUGGUAGAGUACUUGCCUCACAUGCACGAGGGCCUGGGUUCAAUUCCUCAGCACCA
rnacentral:tRNA from 1 species